CUGUGAGAUUACAUAUGCAUAUAGUGUUAAUGUUAUAAGAGUGUAGUAUCAACUCACAAAGUUAUCAGGUUAAAUAGCUUUAUCAACUAAUAAAAAUGUUAUUGCAUCACUAAUGUUAUACUGUAGCCCCGCCACGAUAUCUAGCAAAAAUUAUUUUGCUGAGUAUCGUAGUAAAAGUUAAGAUAUGAUGUUAAGAAUUUUUUUGAGUCGUGCAACAACAUUAACAGCAAACUAUAAUACAAAUCUAUCUUUUUAAAAGUUUGUAUUGCU
rnacentral:misc_RNA from 1 species